GCCAGCCCGCUCAAGAAACUCGAAAGGAAAGUUCGACGGGGGCCCGCACAAGCGGAGGAGCAUGUGGUUAAUUCGAUGAUACGCGAGGAACCUUACCUGGGCUCGAACGUAAGAUGACUGUAGGUGAAAGCUUACAUCUCUUCGGAGCAUUUUACGAGGUGCUGCAUGGUUGUCGUCAGCUCGUGCCGUGAGGUGUCGGGUUAAGUCCCAUAACGAGCGCAACCCCUACCUUUAGUUGCCAUCAGGUUAGGCUGGGGACUCUAAAGGAACUGCCUACGCAAGUAGUGAGGAAGGCGGGGAUGACGUCAAAUCAGCACGGCCCUUACGUCCAGGGCUACACACGUGCUACAAUGGCCGAUACAGAGGGCAGCUACCUGGUGACAGGAUGCAAAUCUCCAAAGUCGGUCUCAGUUCGGAUCGGAGUCUGCAACCCGACUCCGUGAAGUUGGAUUCGCUAGUAAUCGCGCAUCAGCCAUGGCGCGGUGAAUACGUUCCCGGGCCUU
rnacentral:rRNA from 1 species